UGGGGAAUUUUGGACAAUGGGUGCAACCCUGAUCCAGCCAUCCCGCGUGUGCGAUGAAGGCCUUCGGGUUGUAAAGCACUUUUGGCAGGAGGAAAGACAGCCUGGGAUAAUACCCCCGGGCGACUGACGGUACCUGCAGAAUAAGCACCGGCUAACUACGUGCCAGCAGCCGCGGUAAUACGUAGGGUGCAAGCGUUAAUCGGAAUUACUGGGCGUAAAGCGUGCGCAGGCGGUUCGGAAAGAAAGGUGUGAAAUCCCAGGGCUUAACCUUGGAACUGCACUUUUAACUACCGAGCUAGAGUACGUCAGAGGGGGGUAGAAUUCCACGUGUAGCAGUGAAAUGCGUAGAGAUGUGGAGGAAUACCGAUGGCGAAGGCAGCCCCCUGGGAUGAUACUGACGCUCAUGCACGAAAGCGUGGGGAGCAAACAGGAUUAGAUACCCUGGUAGUCCACGCCCUAAAACGAUGUCAACUAGCUGUUGGGGUUUUAUUAACCUUAGUAGCGCAGCUAACGCGUGAAGUUGACCGCCUGGGGAGUACGGUCGCAAGAUUAAAACUCAAAGGAAUUGACGGGGUCAUAGCUG
rnacentral:rRNA from 1 species